AAUGAAUUCCUCAUGGAAGGCGCUUUAUGGAGAACUCCCUUAUAUCUUCACAAGUCCUGGAGAAACAGCAGUGGAUUCCCCUGCCUUACUUCACCCCUAGGCUGGCCCCCUGCAUGUGUCUCUCACAUAAGGAGCUCUGUUUGAUUGCUCUCCUUCUUUUCUGUUGAGAACAUCCAAGUUUCCUGUACAAACUUCUGCAGACCACAGGUGUGGAUGUCCCUUCUGAAAUGGCUCUUUCUGCUUUAUUCACACCAGAAGGCAACUGGAACUCACAUGUGAUUCUCCAUCCUCCUAGCACUUCAUAGAGACAUCUGACCAGAGACUGCUGAUGCACAGGCAGCUGGAAUAUGUGCUGUCUUAUACAGAGAAGGAGUGUGGGAAUAAGUAAACAGAAGGGCCAGAAAUCCUCACUCUAGGGAGCUGUGGAACUGAUACUGGAAGACUGUCAAGUCAGAAUAUCCCUAGAAUUGUAGGACAUGGGUUCAAGCCAUACAUAAAUCCAAAUUUCAGAGGCUUGAGCUGAGGUAAAACUCUGGAUUACAUGAAAUUUGUAAGAAAAGUACAGGAAAUCUGCAGUGAUUUCAUGUAUUUAAAACCUGUUCUCAAUCAAAUUAAGACAAAUAAGUUUCAACAGAAAACAAACAAACAAACAAAAAACCAACCAAAAGACAAACCAAAAGAACCUGGAAGGGAUUCCCAGAAUUCUGAAUUAAGAAAUUUUCAAAAAUUUAAGUUUAAUAUAUUACUUUACUUGAAAACUGUUUCACGGUGAGGCAGGAUCUGAAUCUAAUUUUCACAGCCCUACAAAAUUAUUCUACAUAUAGAAGCUUAUCAAAUACAUAAUUACCUUAUUCUAGUUUGUAUUCUAGAACAAACAUGUCUGCAUGAGACAUUUAUUCAGUAAGCAUGCUACUUUUAUUCUUGAAUAAUUCCAUGUGCAGUCAAGCUCUCAGUCAAAUCACCACAACUCUGUAUGUAGAUGAAUUGUCAGUCUCUCUCUGCUUGCAUUUACAGGAAAUCUGUAUCUCUGUUACUAAAUGCAGCUGACAGAUCUGAAAAUGUCACAUUUGUUUGCGGAGUAGGCAUCUUACAAGCUCUGGCCCCUAUUAGCCUACUACUCGUGUCCUUUGCAGGUGUUAUAACUGCAUAUCCUUCAUAUUUUGUGGUAAAUGUUGUUAGCAAACUAAUAAACGCUAUGGAGCGAGGAAAAGUUUUUUCCCUCCCUUGUUUGCCAAAAAGCAACAGGGUUUUUUUUGCCACAAAGAAGUUUUUGAGUAUGACAUUAAAUUUAUAUAUAUAAGUCCAGGAGAAGAAAACUUAAUUGCUUUUCUUUGGGAAGGGGGAGGAAAUAAAUCUUUGUUCUAGUUCAGUAAAAAAUCCCUCCUUAUUAGACCUUUUAACCAUAAAGACUUCUUUCUUCAUGCUGUUUGUGUUUGUCACCUAUGCUUGCCUAAUUCUGUCAUGAGUACUGUCUCAAAGCUUUAAUAAAACAUUAAUGUCCAAGCCCCAAAA